rnacentral:sRNA from 1 species
UCCGGGUGGAUGAACCAGAACCACUAUUUUUUACUCCUCCAAAGGUUAACGAUGUUCACUCUCUGAAGUUUGUUGACAAAAUAAAUGUGGGAAAAUCUUAAAAUCGUCAAUGUAUCUAGCUUUAUCAUUCAGCGCCAAGGACGGAGACAGUUGGUAAGCACCUCAGCUUGAUUUCCCAGCAGCUGAUCUGUUGGAGAUCUAUACUUCGUACAGUUCGUACCCUAAAUUCUGUUAACUUCAUACUGAAAUUUAAAAAGAAUUUUAAAUACGUUUUCCUUUCCAGCCGGAAAGGCCACGGCGGACAUCUCGCCGACCUCAUCCGCCGCAAAUGCAACGACGCUCUUCAACGACAAACAGGCCAAAUCAGGAACUUUGCCAGUUGAAAUGUAACCAACACCAUCUCCAAAGGCAUAUAUAAUUGCGCCUAAUUGCCUUUAAUUGUUCAGAACGGAAGUCCAAAAACGACAGGACAAUGAGUACUAAUUCACCUAUCAGUGGAAACAUAAACAUUGUGUUUUCGGAACGGAGCCUAUUCUUCACAACUUAUAUGUACUCAAUCCGCAUGACUAGACCUCCAACGGCAAGCUUCAUGAAAAGCUUCAAGGGAAAGUGUUCUUACCAUCCCACAUAGCAGUCCUGCACAACCCCAUAGUUAAUUAAUUGUAAUACGACGAAAAAAUAACAGAAACGCAUACAAAUCACGAAUAUACCUAGGGAACCAAACGACAAACGGAACCGAAAUUCGAAUGAUUCCUUGCGUAGACAGGAAGAUAUCUUCACAAACUGUCAGUUCAUGAUGGAGCCAGAACAGUUCUCUGAGGAAUGCCUGUAGCUUUUGCUCAAUCCUAUUCUCCUAUGGAGCGCUGUGGAGUGCCCCAUGGAUCAGAUGUCCGAUGAGUGCUGCGAUGGAUGUUAGGGCACACCGGCGGUGAUCUUGACAGCACAGAGGGCUGCAGCAGGGAGUGCGUUUUGCGCUCCCACUGUCCACCCGGGGAGAAAAUCAACGAGCUCCGAUGGCAUGAUCCCAAGGACGGCUUAGACUGCUUUCUUCGAGGGAGAAAUUCAUCGAGUUGGCACUUGCGUGGAUGGAUACUAGCUAAAUGAGCCGCGUUAACAAGGAAAACUAUCGACCUAGUCCGAGCUUCGCUUCAACAGCUCAAAGCUAUUGUUCGCUGACCUUACCAAGUGCGCUCCCGACCUACUACCUGGAUAAAUUCAAAUAACACAUGCCCAUACAAAACUGAAGGCUAUUCUUCCAGCAGAACCGCUUAUUCCAUAUUCUUGAUUGUAAAGUGAUUAUUAACUGCCUCUUGUGAGCUCUCAGCAUUUUCCGUCGCAUCGAUUAAGUCUUUUUCAGCCGUCAAAAUAAAAACACAUUUGUUUUUG